AACGCUAGCUACAGGCUUAACACAUGCAAGUCGAGGGGAAACGAUAUUGGAAGCUUGCUUCCGAUAGGCGUCGACCGGCGCACGGGUGAGUAACGCGUAUCCAACCUGCCCAUCACUUGGGGAUAACCUUGCGAAAGUAAGACUAAUACCCAAUGAUAUCUCUAGAAGACAUCUGAAAGGGAUUAAAGAUUUAUCGGUGAUGGAUGGGGAUGCGUCUGAUUAGCUUGUUGGCGGGGUAACGGCCCACCAAGGCGACGAUCAGUAGGGGUUCUGAGAGGAAGGUCCCCCACAUUGGAACUGAGACACGGUCCAAACUCCUACGCGAGGCAGCAGUGAGGAAUAUUGGUCAAUGGGCGAGAGCCUGAACCAGCCAAGUAGCGUGCAGGAUGACGGCCCUAUGGGUUGUAAACUGCUUUUAUAAGGGAAUAAAGUGAGUCUCGUGAGACUUUUUGCAUGUACCUUAUGAAUAAGGACCGGCUAAUUCCGUGCCAGCAGCCGCGGUAAUACGGAAGGUCCGGGCGUUAUCCGGAUUUAUUGGGUUUAAAGGGAGCGUAGGCCGGAGAUUAAGCGUGUUGUGAAAUGUAGACGCUCAACGUCUGCACUGCAGCGCGAACUGGUUUCCUUGAGUACGCACAAAGUGGGCGGAAUUCGUGGUGUAGCGGUGAAAUGCUUAGAUAUCACGAAGAACUCCGAUUG
rnacentral:rRNA from 1 species